rnacentral:rRNA from 1 species
AUUGAACGCUGGCGGCAGGCCUAACACAUGCAAGUCGAGCGGAUGAGUGGAGCUUGCUCCAUGAUUCAGCGGCGGACGGGUGAGUAAUGCCUAGGAAUCUGCCUGGUAGUGGGGGACAACGUUUCGAAAGGAACGCUAAUACCGCAUACGUCCUACGAGAGAAAGUGGGGGACCUUCGGACCUCACGCUAUCAGAUGAGCCUAGGUCGGAUUAGCUAGUUGGUGAGGUAAAGGCUCACCAAGGCGACGAUCCGUAACUGGUCUGAGAGGAUGAUCAGUCACACUGGAACUGAGACACGGUCCGGACUCCUACGGGAGGCAGCAGUGGGGAAUAUUGGACAAUGGGCGAAAGCCUGAUCCAGCCAUGCCGCGUGUGUGAAGAAGGUCUUCGGAUUGUAAAGCACUUUAAGUUGGGAGGAAGGGCAGUAAGUUAAUACCUUGCUGUUUUGACGUUACCAACAGAAUAAGCACCGGCUAACUUCGUGCCAGCAGCCGCCGUAACAC